AAGUCGUAACAAGGUAACCGUAGGUGAACCUGCGGUUGGAUCAUUAUCGAUUCUGCCCUUCUGGGCACCCACACCUGUGAACUGUGCUGUUUCUUGGGCGUGCCUCGGCCGCCCAGCAGUCUAACCACUGAAUCUUGGCUGAGAUUGAAGUUUAAAUAGUAACAACUUUUGACAACGGAUCUCUUGGCUCUC
rnacentral:misc_RNA from 1 species